rnacentral:lncRNA from 1 species
GUGUUGGGAGGUGGUGCCUAAUAAGGAGUGAUUAGGUCAUAGGGGCUCUGCAUCAUAUACAAAUUGCUAUCAUUAUUGAGGAGGUUCUCAUGGGACUGGGCUGUUUAUUGCAAGAAUGGAUUGUUAUAAAAACAAGUUCAGACUCUCCAUGCUCUUGUUCUGACCAAGUAAUGCCUUCUGCCAUGUUAUGGUCCAGCAAGAAAGUCCUCUCCAGGCACAACCUUUGAUCUUGGACUUCCCAGUCUCCAGAACUGUGAGCCAAAUAAAUUAUCUUUUCUUUAUGAAUGUGAUAUUCUGUUACAGCCACACAAAAUGGACAAGACAAUUUUCAAAUGAAAUCUGAUGAAUGGCUGAUCUCUCUCAUAUUUACAUUUCCUCUGCAGUAUGAAUGAAGAAUCCAUUUGCAAUUGUAUUUUUCAGUGGCCGUUUGGAUUUGUGCAGUAGACAAUUGCUGAAGCUGAUACUUUGAGUCAAGUGAGGAGGAAGAGAAACUGUCAGAAAAUAUUUGUGUUUCUUUCUGUUUCAUGAUCAUCACAUACUCCUACAAACUCUCCUACAUACAAUUUCUCCUUAUCGAGAUUCCCCUAGAACUAUUCUACGUUGAAUUCAUAAGAAAGGAGAUUUUCAAUGGUGUGACCUCUUUACUUUUACAGUUGUAUAAGAGGGACCGGAUGUUAUGGAUCGUGAUAAAACUCAACCUGUGAUCCAAUUGGCUGGUACUCAAUCAGCAGAGUCACGUGGUCCAACAUGGCUGCAUUGACCCACAUCUGGGAGCAGUCCAACAGAGAUGAAAACUGAGAAUGUGUCCCAGGAAAAGGGAGUCUUAAAGAAAGUGAGUUCACUUAGCUAGGGGUCUUGUUCAUUGUUAUUGCUAAAACCAUGGUCCCUUUGCAAAGUUUGUCCUAUCUAAAAGUUGUGGUGUGGCUACCAAUCUCUACGUUAGAAUGGUAGAAUAUUACAAAUAGGAGGAAACAGCCACGAUUUUUUUCAAAUUUUUAACAUCAGAAUCCUUUCAUCAAAUAAAAGCUUUCGUAAAACUCCAGGAUAUGCAACUUAAAAAGGGCAAGUUCCUCUGGUAUAGUUGGAGAGAAGAAAGACCAAGGGCACCACUUACUAGUCCCUUCCUCACUGUCCUCCCUGUCCCUGGGAAGACUGCUGCAGUUAUGUAGGAACCCUUUUGAAAUCCACUGAGCUCAUCAUUCUGCAACUGAGACAACCAAAGCACACACACAAAAAAAUGUAGUAAUUUGGAGUAAUAAUACUUUCUAGAAUCUUUUGUUGGUAUAGAACAUCCUUUUCUCUCCAGUUGCUCUAUUCUAAACUUUUUGUUGCAUGUGUAUUUAAAAUAAUUUUAUAAAGUAUAAUAUAGAACUGUAAGGCUUAAUGUAAUAUGAGAUUUUAUGUUCUAUUGUAUCUAAGCAG